GUUCUGACGGAGCUCGGGUCCUGAGGAGCGCCCAGCCGUGGUGGGGUGCGAGCUGUACCAGGAUUAAGAACAGUGGAGCUGUCUCAACCAGUUAGUAAAAUCUCCCAUGCAAAAGCUGUAAUCCUGAACAUUACUGGAGCUGAAUUAUGGACCACGAGCCUCAAAACCUGCAGAGAGCAGUUAUCCCAAGGGCACUUCACACAACCUGGACUAAACCAGCUCCAAAGGGAAACAGCUUCCAACACAGUGAGAGGAUGGACCUGAACCGAGACUUCAGAUUCAAACACUUCACACUGUGAGGACUCAGAGCUGACUCAUAAUUCCACGCAGGAAAAGAAGGAAAUUCUAAAACAUUGGAGCAUAUGUUUAAUUCCAUUUCCAAACCUGUGCCCAUGCUUUAAUUCUGUGAGUAGGGACUUUCAAUUACGUAAUUUCCUGAGCUCCUAUUCUGGGUUUCCUAAAUAAAGUUUUCUUUUACCUUAAAAGACAGUAAAUACAGAGCUGGUUAAUUUUCAUAACCAUUUAAGCCAGUCACAGAACUAGUGCAGAGGUCCAGUGGUCUGUGUGACCUUCUGGGCCAGAGGCUGUUGUCUGUGGCACAACAGGGUCCUCUAAGGAAUUGUAAUGGAAUUGCUGCAAAAGAAAAUUGAUGUCCUUGAGAAGGCCUGCUAUCCAACAGGAAAGACUCAGACGUAAUCCAAGAUAGAAAUCAUUUACUUUUCACCCAGUAAAAUUCACAAAAAU